rnacentral:rRNA from 1 species
AGGGUUUGAUUAUGGCUCAGGACGAACGCUGGCGGCGUGCUUAACACAUGCAAGUCGAACGGUUCUUAGCCGACAGAAGUUUUCGGACGGAAGACGGCGAAAGGAUAGUGGCGGACGGGUGAGUAACGCGUGGAUAAUCUACCUUAAAGACCGGGACAACAGUUGGAAACGACUGCUAAUACCGGAUGACAUUAGUUUACGGCAUCGUGAGCUGAUCAAAGGAGGCCUCUUAACAAUGCUCCCGCUUUAAGAUGAGUCCGCGUACGAUUAGCUAGUUGGUGGGGUAACGGCCUACCAAGGCGACGAUCGUUAGCCGACCUGAGAGGGUGGCCGGCCACACUGGGACUGAGACACGGCCCAG